UGGGGAAUAUUGGACAAUGGGGGGAACCCUGAUCCAGCCAUGCCGCGUGUGUGAAGAAGGUCUUCGGAUUGUAAAGCACUUUAAGUUGGGAGGAAGGGCUAUCGGCUAAUACCCGUUUAGUUUUGACGUUACCAACAGAAUAAGCACCGGCUAACUUCGUGCCAGCAGCCGCGGUAAUACGAAGGGUGCAAGCGUUAAUCGGAAUUACUGGGCGUAAAGCGCGCGUAGGUGGUUUGUUAAGUUGGAAGUGAAAGCCCCGGGCUCAACCUGGGAAUUGCUUUCAAAACUAGCAAGCUAGAGUACAGUAGAGGGUAGUGGAAUUUCCUGUGUAGCGGUGAAAUGCGUAGAUAUAGGAAGGAACAUCAGUGGCGAAGGCGACUACCUGGACUGAUACUGACACUGAGGUGCGAAAGCGUGGGGAGCAAACAGG
rnacentral:rRNA from 1 species